rnacentral:rRNA from 1 species
UACGUAGGGGGCAAGCGUUGUCCGGAUUUAUUGGGCGUAAAGAGCGUGUAGGCGGCCAGGGAGGUCCGUUGUGAAAACUCGAGGCUCAACCUCGAGACGCCGAUGGAAACCCCCUGGCUAGAGUCCGGAAGAGGAGAAUGGAAUUCCUGGUGUAGCGGUGAAAUGCGCAGAUAUCAGGAAGAACACCCGUGGCUAAGGCGGUUCUCUAGUACGGUACUGACGCUGAGACGCGAAAAGCGUGGGGGAGCGAACAGG